rnacentral:tRNA from 1 species
GGUCUUAUGGUCUAGUGGUAUGAUUCUCGCUUAGGGUUUACUAAGCACAUUUGCGAGAGGCCCCGCGUUCGAAUCGCGGUAAGACCC